CCGAUGCAGACACCUGCCCUUCGGCUAGCACCCCAGCUGACAUUAGCACACAGUGCCAAUGUCUGAUGUCCUGCCCUCCACUCCUAAGUGUUCUUACUUUCUCCGUUGUCAUAUCUGGGGACCAGAUAAGCUCAUGCCUACCAAUUCCUGCAUCAGUCAUUUCCAUGGCGAGGUCUUAGAUGGACACUGGAUGAGGGACCAGGAACACAGAGCCACACACGGUCCUAUUCUCUCAACCAAGAAUCACAUACUGAAUUUUAUUUGGGGUCCAGCAAGUAUUAAAGAAGGAUAUUUGGAGAAUGUUAAUAAAAUAUCUCUGAGCGGCUUGUAGUCUUGGUAAGAAAGUGAAAAAUUACAUUCAGAAAAUUACAGGUGAACAAUGUAAGAAAAAAUACAGAUUGACUACUGUCUUUGGUAGCUCUAGUAUUUAAAUCUCAGGGUUUGGAGCAGGA
rnacentral:lncRNA from 1 species